rnacentral:misc_RNA from 1 species
AAGUCGUAACAAGGUUUCCGUAGGUGAACCUGCGGAAGGAUCAUUAACAGAGAGGAACACGCGUCCUCGGGGGCUUCGGCCCCUUCUCUUCACCCUGUGCCUACCUACCCUGAUUGCUUUGGCGUGCCGGGGGCUCAGCCUUGAUCGGUCGGUGGCAGGUCUUGAAAAGGAACGCUCCGGCGGAUCGUGCUCGUCAAACGCCCAUUAAAUUCUGUUUUAGCAGUGUUGUCCGAGUCAAACACAAUGGUUUUAAAAACUUUCAACAACGGAUCUCUUGGUUCUG